GAUGAACGCUGGCGGCGUGCCUAAUACAUGCAAGUCGAGCGAACAGACGAGGAGCUUGCUCCUCUGACGUUAGCGGCGGACGGGUGAGUAACACAUGGAUAACCUACCUAUAAGACUGGGAUAACUUCGGGAAACCGGUGCUAAUACCGGAUAAUACAUUGAACCGCAUGGUUCAAUAGUGAAAGACGGUUUUGCUGUCACUUAUAGAUGGAUCCGCGCCGCAUUAGCUAGUUGGUAAGGUAACGGCUUACCAAGGCGACGAUGCGUAGCCGACCUGAGAGGGUGAUCGGCCACACUGGAACUGAGACACGGUCCAGACUCCUACGGGAGGCAGCAGUAGGGAAUAUUCCGCAAUGGGCGAAAGCCUGACGGAGCCACGCCGCGUGAGUGAAGAAGGUCUUCGGAUCGUAAAACUCUGUUAUUAGGGAGGAACAACUGUGGAAGUAACUAUGCACGUCUUGACGGUACCUAAUCAGAAAGCCACGGCUAACUACGUG
rnacentral:rRNA from 1 species